GUGGAUGCCUUGACUGGUAAAGGCGAUGAAGGACGUACUAGACUGCGAUAAGCUACGGGGAGCUGUCAAGAAGCUUUGAUCCGUAGAUUUCCGAAUGGGGCAACCCAAUGUAUAGAGAUAUACAUUACCUAUAUAGGAGCGAACGAGGGGAAUUGAAACAUCUUAGUACCCUCAGGAAAAGAAAUCAAUAGAGAUUGCGUCAGUAGCGGCGAGCGAAAGCGCAAGAGGGCAAACCCAGUGCUUGCACUGGGGGUUGUAGGACUGCAAUGUGCAAGAGGUGAGUUUAGCAGAACAUUCUGGAAAGUAUAGCCAUAGAGGGUGAUAGUCCCGUAUGCGAAAAACAAACCUUAGCUAGCAGUAUCCUGAGUAGGGCGGGACACGAGAAAUCCUGUCUGAAGCUGGGUCGACCACGAUCCAACCCUAAAUACUAAUACCAGAUCGAUAGUGCACAAGUACCGUGAGGGAAAGGUGAAAAGAACUGAGGUGAUCAGAGUGAAAUAGAACCUGAAACCAUUUGCUUACAAUCAUUCAGAGCCCUAUGUAGCAAUACAGGGUGAUGGACUGCCUUUUGCAUAAUGAGCCUGCGAGUUGUGGUGUCUGGCAAGGUUAAGCAAACGCGAAGCCGUAGCGAAAGCGAGUCUGAAUAGGGCGCUUAGUCAGAUGCUGCAGACCCGAAACGAAGUGAUCUAUCCAUGAGCAAGUUGAAGCUAGUGUAAGAACUAGUGGAGGACUGAACCCAUAGGCGUUGAAAAGCCCCGGGAUGACUUGUGGAUAGGGGUGAAAGGCCAAUCAAACUUCGUGAUAGCUGGUUCUCUCCGAAAUAUAUUUAGGUAUAGCGUUGUGUCGUAAUAUAAGGGGGUAGAGCACUGAAUGGGCUAGGGCAUACACCAAUGUACCAAACCCUAUCAAACUCCGAAUACCUUAUAUGUAAUCACAGCAGUCAGGCGGCGAGUGAUAAAAUCCGUCGUCAAGAGGGAAACAACCCAGACUACCAGCUAAGGUCCCUAAAUCUUACUUAAGUGGAAAACGAUGUGAAGUUACUUAAACAACCAGGAGGUUGGCUUAGAAGCAGCCAUCCUUUAAAGAAAGCGUAAUAGCUCACUGGUCUAGUGAUUUUGCGCGGAAAAUAUAACGGGGCUAAAGUAAGUACCGAAGCUGUAGACUUGCACACAACUUAGAUUAUUUAAGUUUAGAAUAUGAGAAACUAAGUUAUAUGUUUAGUUAUAUUUUUACUGAUUUUUAUAGAGUAAAGAUAGAAAUAAAACUUAGUAAAAUCAGUAAAAAUAUUCUUAGACUAAAGUUAAGUAGUUUAAGUUGUGUGCAAGUGGUAGGAGAGCGUUCUAUUUGCGUCGAAGGUAUACCGGUAAGGAGUGCUGGAGCGAAUAGAAGUGAGCAUGCAGGCAUGAGUAGCGAUAAUUAAUGUGAGAAUCAUUAACGCCGUAAACCCAAGGUUUCCUACGCGAUGCUCGUCAUCGUAGGGUUAGUCGGGUCCUAAGUCGAGUCCGAAAGGGGUAGACGAUGGCAAAUUGGUUAAUAUUCCAAUACCAACAUUAGUGUGCGAUGGAAGGACGCUUAGGGCUAAGGGGGCUAGCGGAUGGAAGUGCUAGUCUAAGGUCGUAGGAGGUUAUACAGGCAAAUCCGUAUAACAAUACUCCGAGAACUGAAAGGCUUUUUGAAGUCUUCGGAUGGAUAGAAGAACCCCUGAUGCCGUCGAGCCAAGAAAAGUUUCUAAGUUUAGCUAAUGUUGCCCGUACCGUAAACCGACACAGGUGGGUGGGAUGAGUAUUCUAAGGCGCGUGGAAGAACUCUCUUUAAGGAACUCUGCAAAAUAGCACCGUAUCUUCGGUAUAAGGUGUGGUUAGCUUUGUAUUAGGAUUUACUCCGAAAGCAAGGAAACUUACAACAAAGAGUCCCUCCCGACUGUUUACCAAAAACACAGCACUCUGCUAACUCGUAAGAGGAUGUAUAGGGUGUGACGCCUGCCCGGUGCUCGAAGGUUAAUUGAUGGGGUUAGCAUUAGCGAAGCUCUUGAUCGAAGCCCGAGUAAACGGCGGCCGUAACUAUAACGGUCCUAAGGUAGCGAAAUUCCUUGUCGGUUAAAUACCGACCUGCAUGAAUGGCGUAACGAGAUGGGAGCUGUCUCAAAGAGGGAUCCAGUGAAAUUGUAGUGGAGGUGAAAAUUCCUCCUACCCGCGGCAAGACGGAAAGACCCCGUGGACCUUUACUACAGCUUGACACUGCUACUUGGAUAAGAAUGUGCAGGAUAGGUGGGAGGCUUUGAGUAUAUGACGCCAGUUGUAUAUGAGCCAUUGUUGAGAUACCACUCUUUCUUAUUUGGGUAGCUAACCAGCUUGAGUUAUCCUCAAGUGGGACAAUGUCUGGUGGGUAGUUUGACUGGGGCGGUCGCCUCCCAAAUAAUAACGGAGGCUUACAAAGGUUGGCUCAGAACGGUUGGAAAUCGUUCGUAGAGUAUAAAGGUAUAAGCCAGCUUAACUGCAAGACAUACAAGUCAAGCAGAGACGAAAGUCGGUCUUAGUGAUCCGGUGGUUCUGUGUGGAAGGGCCAUCGCUCAAAGGAUAAAAGGUACCCCGGGGAUAACAGGCUGAUCUCCCCCAAGAGCUCACAUCGACGGGGAGGUUUGGCACCUCGAUGUCGGCUCAUCGCAUCCUGGGGCUGGAGCAGGUCCCAAGGGUAUGGCUGUUCGCCAUUUAAAGCGGUACGCGAGCUGGGUUCAGAACGUCGUGAGACAGUUCGGUCCCUAUCUGCCGUGGGCGUAAGAAGAUUGAAGAGAUUUGACCCUAGUACGAGAGGACCGGGUUGAACAAACCACUGGUGUAGCUGUUGUUCUGCCAAGAGCAUCGCAGCGUAGCUAAGUUUGGAAAGGAUAAACGCUGAAAGCAUCUAAGCGUGAAGCCAACUCUAAGAUGAAUCUUCUCUAAGCUCUCUAGAAGACUACUAGUUUGAUAGGCUGGGUGUGUAAUGGAUGAAAGUCCUUUAGCUGACCAGUACUAAUAGAGCGUUUGGCUUAUCUUU
rnacentral:rRNA from 1 species